rnacentral:lncRNA from 1 species
UUCAUCACCGUCUUCAUCUACCCUCGCCGUGACAGCGAUGUCUUCAUCCAGAUUUCAGUGUGUUGUUUCUGGUUUCUUAAUGGAUUAUAAUGUUAAUAGGGAGGUGAAGGAGGAGAUCUAGAGCCACUUUUUUAUUACCAUCGUGUUCAGCCACUAGAUUCCGUUUGCAUUGACGAUGAGUUUCAGUUUUUCAAUCACACAAACACGUUUAG